UGGAACAGGUGGUUAAGGAAAAAAAUAGCUUACCAUUAUUUUGUGAGGGUCUCCCUGCUUUACCUCAAUUCUAGUAAGCCUCUUCAGUCAUCUUUUCAGUUCUCCUGUUUUUAAGUCUCCUCUUUCAUUUUUAAUCUUUUUCCUUAAUUUUCUUUUGAUUACCUUCAGGAUUCCAUGGUGUCAUAAAGGUUAGAAGCUGGAUCACCAACUAUCAUUUAAAACUUAAACUAAAUCAAGGUUUGCCUCUUCUAAGUAGAAUGUGAUGUCAAUCUUCUUCAGGAUUCCUAGGUAUCUCUUGUGGCCCCAGUAAUCAGUAUGUCAAAAAAUGAAUACAUUUACAGCUGUUGAGAAGACUUGUGCUAACAUUGCUGGAUGUAGACUGAGAAUACGCAUUGCAUUGAGGACAGAGAAACAGAAAGUCUUGGCAGCUUCUACUGUGCCAGAGACUUUGUUCUGCUCAGUGAGGAGGGGUGCAGUUCCCAAGAAAGAUGUCAAAUACAGUAAUUAAUGUUCUUUCUUCAUGUGAUGGAUACCAUCUGUAUUUAGAAACAUCUGAGCUUGCGCUUGAAUACAAGUCACGUAGCAUUUUUAUUGGUAUAGUGAAGAACUUGAGUAUCUUUAUUCAUGAUACUUGAGGCUUUGCUCCCAGACAUAGUUUAGAAAUGCGUGACAUUCCUUUUACGUUUCGAAGUGAAAAGUGAGCCAGGGUGAGCAGGAAGGACAUUCCGUAGCUCGGUGAAUCUUUUAGCAGUUUUUCAUUGUGUCAUAUUUGUUUUUAUAGAAGCAACGUCAAACUAGGGCAAUAGGAGCAGCAAAUUAGUUUUUGCCUCAUAUAAAAGCAAACAUGAUCAGCAUCUGCUCAUCCGCCAGGGAUAUUCAUGGAGUCAAUUAUAAUCAGGAUAUACAACUUUCCUUUUUUGACAGCCUUCAUUAAGACUGGUCAAAAUACAGUGUCUUCAAAACAAACAAUGUUUUUAGUUUUCCUUCCUUCUUAGCUUCUCCUAUUUCCCUAGCAGUGAAACUAGUGACCUUAUCUGAAAUCAUCUCUGUGUUUGUAUCCAUGUCUCUUACAGCUGGGAUGUGGCUCCAGUAGUUCUGCAAUGCAGCAAGUUACUUGCUAUCUUAGUCAUGUAAUAUAUCUUUUCCUUUUCUUUUUAUUCCCUUUGUUUCAGAAUAUAAACAUCAGCAAUUAUUAUCUUGAUUAAUCCUCUCUCUGUCGUACAUCUCCUCUUUCCCUCUCCCUGUUUUUGAGGAAAAGUAAUAAAAGGCAAGUUUAUUGUUUUCCA